ACUCGAGCGGCGAACGGGUGAGUAACACGUGAGUAAUCUGCCUCUGGCUUCGGGAUAGCCACCGGAAACGGUGAUUAAUACCGGAUAUGACAUCUUCACGCAUGUGAUGGGUGUGGAAAGUUUUUUCGGCCAGGGAUGUGCUCGCGGCCUAUCAGCUUGUUGGUGGGGUAAUGGCCUACCAAGGCUUCGACGGGUAGCCGGCCUGAGAGGGUGACCGGCCACACUGGGACUGAGACACGGCCCAGACUCCUACGGGAGGCAGCAGUGGGGAAUAUUGGACAAUGGGCGGAAGCCUGAUCCAGCAACGCCGCGUGAGGGAUGACGGCCUUCGGGUUGUAAACCUCUUUCAGCACAGACGAAGCGCAAGUGACGGUAUGUGCAGAAGAAGGACCGGCCAACUACGUGCCAGCAGCCGCGGUAAUACGUAGGGUCCGAGCGUUGUCCGGAAUUAUUGGGCGUAAAGGGCUCGUAGGCGGUUUGUCGCGUCGGGAGUGAAAACACCGGGCUUAACUCGGUGCUUGCUUUCGAUACGGGCAGACUAGAGGCAUUCAGGGGAGAACGGAAUUCCUGGUGUAGCGGUGAAAUGCGCAGAUAUCAGGAGGAACACCGGUGGCGAAGGCGGUUCUCUGGGAAUGUCCUGACGCUGAGGAGC
rnacentral:rRNA from 1 species